UGUAUGUGUAGCUUGAAGGCAGCUGCCUGAAAGUUAGCUGUUUGUCUUUUAACAGUAUUUGAUCAAGACUGUGGAUGGAGUUGAAGUGGUUUUACUGCUUCAGAAAAUAACACAGGAUGCAAAAGUAGCUGAAAGAAAUGGGAACACGAAUUUAAACUCCAGAACAGUGUCCACUUCUGAAGUUUAGCAAUAGGCUUCUUCUGCGAAGGCAUCAACCAGGACACACUGUUCCAGAACCAGUCGCGUCAGUGCCAGGAAUCCAACCACAGAUUUGAAGGUUCUAAUCAGAUGAAUUGCUCUCAAAUAGAUACUGACAAUAAGGAAAUCAUCGGGCAAUAUGUGUGAGUCUGAUAAGAACAGCAGAAGAAACACUGGACAAGGAUCAAGAAUACACAAGAAAGAAGAAACGCUAAGAUAUAUAUAGGUAACAUAACUGAGGUUAAUACUAGCAAAAAUUGAGAUAUUUAAUUGGUAUUUUUAUAUAUAUUAAAAAAAGCACAACACCCGUGGUGGCCAAAAAUUUUGAGAUAAACCCUAGUAGGCAAAAAUUCUUGUUUUAGUAGCUUACAGGUUUCAUUUGCAAUUGCUGCCCCUCCUCAGAAGAAGGCUAGGCACCAUGCUGGGCAGGAGGAACUGACAGAUGGCUCUAAGAGGGCAAUUUAAAGACGGUUUAGAUUAGAGGAUUAAGGCCUGAGCAACCUGCCGGAGGAGGGAAGAAUCUGGAAGGGCACCAAGAAGUGCACCAAUCUGAAUACCAGCUGCAGUUACAGCAGCUUUUUAAAUAGUUGUUUUAAUUACAAAUCAUUUUGGAAUACAUUUGGUGUCCUUUCUAAUUACUCAGCAUGAGGUACAAGAAACAUGGUGGCAAAGGUCAAUCUAAAAAGACUCUGAGCAUGAAAAAUACUGUGAUUAGCAUGAAAAUAAAGCAGAACAAAAAAUGAGAAGCAGAUAGCAUACAGCUUUAUUCUAGAC